AUUGAACGCUGGCGGCAGGCCUAACACAUGCAAGUCGAAUGGUAACAGGAAACAGCUUGCUGUUUCGCUGACGAGUGGCGGACGGGUGAGUAAUGUCUGGGAAACUGCCUGAUGGAGGGGGAUAACUACUGGAAACGGUAGCUAAUACCGCAUAACGUCGCAAGACCAAAGAGGGGGACCUUCGGGCCUCUUGCCAUCAGAUGUGCCCAGAUGGGAUUAGCUAGUAGGUGGGGUAACGGCUCACCUAGGCGACGAUCCCUAGCUGGUCUGAGAGGAUGACCAGCCACACUGGAACUGAGACACGGUCCAGACUCCUACGGGAGGCAGCAGUGGGGAAUAUUGCACAAUGGGCGCAAGCCUGAUGCAGCCAUGCCGCGUGUAUGAAGAAGGCCUUCGGGUUGUAAAGUACUUUCAGCGGGGAGGAAGGGAGUAAAGUUAAUACCUUUGCUCAUUGACGUUACCCGCAGAAGAAGCACCGGCUAACUCUGUG
rnacentral:rRNA from 1 species